rnacentral:rRNA from 1 species
GAAUAUUGGGCAAUGGACGAGAGUCUGACCCAGCCAUGCCGCGUGCAGGAAGAAGGCCUAUUGGGUUGUAAACUGCUUUUAUCUGGGAAGAAAAGGCCCAUGCGUGGGACAUUGCCGGUACCAGAUGAAUAAGCACCGGCUAACGCCGUCCCAGCAGCCGCGGUAAUACGGAGGGUGCCAGCGUUGUCCGGAUUUAUUGGGUUUAAAGGGUGCGUAGGCGGCUAUUUAAGUCAGCGGUGAAAGACUCCUGCUCAACCGGAGCAGUGCCAUUGAUACUGGAUAGCUUGAGCGUUGGAGGGGUACAUGGAAUUGAUGGUGUAGCGGUGAAAUGCAUAGAUACCAUCAGGAACACCGAUAGCGAAGGCAUUGUACUGGCCAACAACUGACGCUGAGGCACGAAAGCAUGGGGAGCGAACAGG